AUGGAAACACAAACUUUAUCAGCCCCUGCUGAUGAGCGUUUCCACUCCAAUUCAAAUCCGCCGGACAGCAGCAGACAACAAAUUCCAGAAAAGCGCCAGAGACAGAAGAUGCCAUCGACCAAUUUAACCAAGCAGCAGCUCUUCAUAACCCAAAGUGAAGAAGACCAGCAGCAGGAGGAGAGAUCACAAGAGGACAAGAGGCUAAGCCUGAAGAAGAAAAACAUGUUCAAUCAUCUAAUAGAGAAUUCAUUUGUUCCGUUUUCUAAUGAUAUGGAUAAAAAUUCUAUAAAAAAACUAUUGCCAUGUUUUAUAAAUCAAGCAAACUUUUGUGUUAAAAGUACCUCCUUGGAUGUCUAUACUGAUAUGACUUCCCGUACAGGAGGAUUUAUUCUGUGGUUUAUAAAGACGAUAAAAAAAAUAAGCAACAAAGGCGGCAAAACAAAAGCUAUUUUUUUUAUUGAAAUGCAUAAAGAGUAUUUGAAUAUAAAAAAAGAAGUAAAUAAUGCUGUAGGUGCUGCAGGUUGUCCCUCGCAUUUCAUUGACAAAUU
rnacentral:lncRNA from 1 species